GGAUUAGUCGUCAAGUGGUAAGACAUAGCUUUUUCGUUGCUACUACCGCGGGUUCGAAUCCCGCCUAGUCCU